GAUGAACGCUGGCGGUAUGCUUAACACAUGCCAGUCGAACGGUCACUUCGGUGAUAGUGGCGGACGGGUGAGUAACGCGUGAGAAUCUGUCUUCAGGUCGGGGACAACAGUUAGAAAUGACUGCUAAUACCGGAUGUGCCUUUGGGUGAAAGAUUUAUUGCCUGAAAAAGAGCUCGCGUCAGAUUAGCUAGUAGGUGGUGUAAGAGACUACCUAGGCUCCGAUCUGUAGCUGGUCUGAGAGGACGAUCAGCCACACUGGAACUGAGACACGGUCCAGACUCCUACGGGAGGCAGCAGUGGGGAAUUUUCCGCAAUGGGCGAAAGCCUGACGGGGCAAUACCGCGUGAGGGACGAAGGCUUUUGGGUCGUAAACCUCUUUUCUCAAGGAAGAUGAUGACGGUACUUGAGGAAUAAGCAUCGGCUAACUCUGUG
rnacentral:rRNA from 1 species